rnacentral:rRNA from 1 species
AACGAACGCUGGCGGCAUGCCUAACACAUGCAAGUCGAACGGGAUCCUAGCUUGCUAGGUGAGAGUGGCGGACGGGUGAGUAACACGUGGGAAUCUGCCUUUUGGUUCGGGAUAACCGCGGGAAACUGCGGCUAAUACCGAAUGCCCUCGAGAGAGGAAAGAUUUAUCGCCAGAAGAGGAGCCCGCGUCCGAUUAGGUAGUUGGUGGGGUAAAGGCCUACCAAGCCGACGAUCGGUAGCUGGUCUGAGAGGAUGAUCAGCCACACUGGGACUGAGAUACGGCCCAGACUCCUACGGGAGGCAGCAGUGGGGAAUAUUGGACAAUGGGGGCAACCCUGAUCCAGCAAUGCCGCGUGAGUGAUGAAGGCCUUAGGGUUGUAAAGCUCUUUGCCAGGAAGAUGAUGACUGUACCU